AAAUUUAUUUGAGCAUAAGCUUUCGUGAGCUGCAUCCGAUGAAGUGAGCUGUAGCUCACGAAAGCUUAUGCUCAAAUAAAUUUGUUAGUCUCUAAGGUGCCACAAGUAUUCCUUUUCUUUUUACUAUUAAGGAGACAUUACUGAGUUGCCAAGAAAUCAAAGACCAUUUUGGAUGUUUGCAUCUAUGUGGCUUCUUGGUAUUGAAUUUUUAUAAAAGUUACCAUGAACAUUUUCAGUCAAGAAGACAAUCAAUGACGGUAAGAAAUGCAGAUGAACAUGACAACCCCCUUAAUGGGCAAAGAAAGAAAAUUGAGUUAAGACUGUACCCAAGGUCUAUAACCAAAACAAUACCUGAUAAACAACAAUGAAGUGUAGACUGACUAACUUUUAAUAACCUUUUGUAAUGGAAAAUAUUGUGUUGAUUCACA